AGAUCCUGCUCCGUCGCCCCAGUGUUCAGACUACCUGUUCAGGACAAUGCUGUUGUACAGUAGUCUGCACAUUGGUUAGACUGGGCAAGGG
rnacentral:pre_miRNA from 1 species